rnacentral:rRNA from 1 species
UGAGCUGCUGGAUUUCUCAAGAGACUUAUCCGGCCGGCUACAGACCCUUUAGACCCAAUAAUAACGGUUACCACUCGAGCCGCCGGUGUUACCGCGGCGGCUGGCACCGGUCUUGCCCGGCCCUUGCUAUGCAAUGCUUUUUAGGCAUCACGACAGCCAGAUUUGUAACCUGGCACUCGAGGUCCCCUUAUCGCCGUUGCCGGCAUUGUAAAGUUUUCGCGCCUGCUGCACCCCGUAGGGCCUGGAUUCGUGUCUCAGAAUCCAUCUCCGGGCCCUUGCUCUCACAACCCGUACCCGUCGUAGGCUAGUAGGUACGCUACACCCACUACUACCUGAUAGGCCGCAGACCCAUCCUCUGGCGCCGGAGCUUUCGAUCUCGGGGCAUUCCAGCGACCGAGAUCUAUCGGGGAUUAUACCCAGUUUCCCGGGUUUAUACCCGUCCGGAGGGUAGGUUGUCCACGUGUUACUGAGCAGUACGCCAUGUAUUGCU